CCUACGGGAGGCAGCAGUGAGGAAUAUUGGUCAAUGGGCGCGAGCCUGAACCAGCCAAGUAGCGUGAAGGAUGACUGCCCUACGGGUUGUAAACUGCUUUUGCAAAGGAGUAAAGUGAGGCACGUGUGCCUUUUUGUAUGUACUUUAUGAAUAAGGAUCGGCUAACUCCGUGCCAGCAGCCGCGGUAAUACGGCGGAUCCGAGCGUUAUCCGGAUUUCUUGGGUUUAAAGGGAGCGUAGAUGGGUUGGUAAGUCAGUUGUGAAAGGUUGGGGCUCAACCGCAAAAUUGCAAUUGAUACUGGCAGUCUGGAGUGCAGUAGAGGUAGGCGGAAUUCGUGGUGUAGCGGUGAAAUGCUUAGAUAUCACGAAGAACUCCGAUUGCGAAGGCAGCUUACUAAACUGUCACUGACGUUGAGGCUCGAAAGCGUGGGUAGCAAACAGGAUUAGAUACCCGAGUAGUC
rnacentral:rRNA from 1 species